CAAAAUCAAUAUUGUACAACCAAAUCAAAUUCACACGAGAUUUGAAAACUGCAUGACGAACCUCGCCGCCGAGAUAGCAGAGAUCACCCGAAGAUGUCAAUCCGGUGUCGUGAAACGCCGAUCGACCAAGAACCCUAACCAUGUGCGGCUCCACCAUAUGUUUCCCUCCCAAUAUCUUCAGUAUCGUCGUCUUCCCUGAUUUUUUUUUAUUAUUAUCUAAUUUCAGAUCCUACACAUACGCAUUUCAAGCUCCUUAUAGAGAUAAACGAAUUUUCACGUACCGGCGCCGUUAGAUCCGA
rnacentral:lncRNA from 1 species